rnacentral:rRNA from 1 species
UACGAAGGGGGCGAGCGUUGUUCGGAUUUACUGGGCGUAAAGGGCGCGCAGGCGGCUAUCCAAGUCAGGCGUGAAAGCCCCGGGCUUAACCUGGGAGGUGCGUCUGGGACUGGGUGGCUAGAGAUCGGGAGAGGAGAGUGGAAUUCCCAGUGUAGAGGUGAAAUUCGUAGAUAUCAAGCGGAACACCGGUGGCGAAGGCGGCCUUCUGGACAGUGACUGACGCUGAGACGCGAAAGCGUGGGGAGCAAACAGG